rnacentral:rRNA from 1 species
UACGUAGGGUGCGAGCGUUAAUCGGAAUUACUGGGCGUAAAGCGUGCGCAGGCGGUUUGGCAAGUCAGAUGUGAAAUCCCCGAGCUCAACUUGGGAACUGCGUUUGAAACUGCCAGACUAGAAUAUGUCAGAGGGGGGUAGAAUUCCACGUGUAGCAGUGAAAUGCGUAGAGAUGUGGAGGAAUACCAAUGGCGAAGGCAGCCCCCUGGGAUAAUAUUGACGCUCAUUCACGAAAGCGUGGGGAGCAAACAGG